rnacentral:rRNA from 1 species
UACGUAGGGUGCGAGCGUUAAUCGGAAUUACUGGGCGUAAAGUGUGCGCAGGCGGCCGCGCAAGUCGAGUGUGAAAGCCCCGAGCUUAACUUGGGAACUGCGCUCGAAACUACGUGGCUGGAGUGUGGCAGAGGAAGGUGGAAUUCCAGGUGUAGAGGUGAAAUUCGUAGAUAUUCGCAAGAACACCAGUGGCGAAGGCGGCUCACUGGCCCGGUACUGACGCUGAGGUGCGAAAGCGUGGGGAGCGAACGGG